UACGUAGGGCGCAAGCGUUGUCCGGAAUUAUUGGGCGUAAAGAGCUCGUAGGCGGUUUGUCGCGUCUGCUGUGAAAACCUCAGGCUCAACCUGGGGCUUGCAGUGGGUACGGGCAGACUAGAGUUCGGUAGGGGAGACUGGAAUUCCUGGUGUAGCGGUGAAAUGCGCAGAUAUCAGGAGGAACACCGGUGGCGAAGGCGGGUCUCUGGGCCGUAACUGACGCUGAGGAGCGAAAGCAUGGGGAGCGAACAGG
rnacentral:rRNA from 1 species